GGCAGAUUAGGUAGUUGGUGAGGUAAAGGCUCACCAAGCCUUCGAUCUGUAGCUGGUCUGAGAGGACGACCAGCCACACUGGGACUGAGACACGGCCCAGACUCCUACGGGAGGCAGCAGUGGGGAAUUUUGGACAAUGGGCGCAAGCCUGAUCCAGCCAUGCCGCGUGCAGGAUGAAGGCCUUCGGGUUGUAAACUGCUUUUGUACGGAACGAAAAGGUUCUUUCUAAUAAAGAGAGCUCAUGACGGUACCGUAAGAAUAAGCACCGGCUAACUACGUGCCAGCAGCCGCGGUAAUACGUAGGGUGCAAGCGUUAAUCGGAAUUACUGGGCGUAAAGCGUGCGCAGGCGGUUAUGUAAGACAGUUGUGAAAUCCCCGGGCUCAACCUGGGAACUGCAUCUGUGACUGCAUAGCUAGAGUACGGUAGAGGGGGAUGGAAUUCCGCGUGUAGCAGUGAAAUGCGUAGAUAUGCGGAGGAACACCGAUGGCGAAAGCAAUCCCCUGGACCUGUACUGACGCUCAUGCACGAAAGCGUGGGGAGCA
rnacentral:rRNA from 1 species